UUUAAUAUGUUCCCCAUCCACUCUUAUGUAUUUCACUCUUCCAGCUUCAUCCAAGGUUUUCAGACCAAUCCAGUCUUCAAUGUAGAGUUUUGUCUGCAGAAAUCAAGCAGAAGUGAUCAUAUUGUCGAACAAUGGAGCUAUCGGUAUGAUUAGAGAUGUCCAUUUAAUCUGCGCAAAAUUUCGGUUGACAUAGAGAACGGAGUAGAGAGCAGAGAGAGUUUUCUUUCUGUUGGCUAAAUGGGAACGGGUACGAGGUUGAUUAUUUAUUUAUUGUUUCCCAAUUCAA